AACGAACGCUGGCGGCAGGCCUAACACAUGCAAGUCGAGCGAGGACUUCGGUCCUAGCGGCGGACGGGUGAGUAACGCGUGGGAACGUGCCCUUUGCUUCGGAAUAGCCCUGGGAAACUGGGAGUAAUACCGGAUGAGCCCUUUGGGGGAAAGAUUUAUCGGCGAAGGAUCGGCCCGCGUUGGAUUAGGUAGUUGGUGGGGUAAUGGCCUACCAAGCCGACGAUCCACAGCUGGUUUGAGAGGAUGAUCAGCCACACUGGGACUGAGACACGGCCCAGACUCCUACGGGAGGUAGCAGUGGGGAAUGUUAGACAAUGGGGGAAGCGCUGAACUAGCCAUUCCGCGUGAAAGAUGAAGGCCUUAGGGUUGUAAAGCUCUCUCAGCUGCGAAGAUAAAGCAGCCGCCAGCAGAAGAGGCCCGGGCAAACCCCAUG
rnacentral:rRNA from 1 species